CCUCAGAUGCGUCGGCCGCUGAACCAGUGAAGGUCCCUGCUGUCAUCUGUGUCUCCAUCGCUGCUUUCAUCGUCCUGACUUAGGAAACAUGAGGAUCGAUCCGUCACUGUUCAGAGAAGAAGGAGAAGGUGACAGAUGAAUGCUGAACAUAAACUGCUAAGUUAUUUAUUAAAAAACUGGACAAACUGGAUCAUCACAUAGUGAGGAACAAGGUGAAGGAAACAGUUUAUAGCAGGUACCAGUGAGUUCCAGCCAGGAUUUGUCAGGAAUUUUAUACAAACAAACUGACUGUGAUGCUUUCAUUUACUUUCUCCUUUAUAUUAUUUUACUUGAAGUCAUUAUGAGCAAUUCAAUCAGUGUAAUCGAAGUUAUGAUGAUUGUAGAUUUUAUAAACUUUGUCCUAAAGCUUU